AAAAAACGGUCUUGACCAGCUUCAGAAAAUUGUGCCUGAAGGACACGCAUUCAUGUAGGCAGGAUUUAGAAAGGCAAUUCAACAGAUCGAAAGUUUCAACUCCAGAAACAAGGUUCCCACCAUGAUUAUUGCUAUGACCAAUGGAGAACUGGUGGCACAUGCAUUUCAGGACACUCUCAGAGAAGCUCAAAAGGCUCGGAAACUGGGGGCCAAUGUUUACACCCUGGGCGUGGC